rnacentral:ncRNA from 1 species
ACCCCUGUGAGAAUGCCCUACAGUUCCCCGCCCGGGAACGAGGAGCCGGUAUCAGGCACUCAUAACCCAGCCCAUGACACCUUGCUUAGCCACACCCUCAAGGGAACUCAGCAGUGAUAGACAUUAAGCCAUAAGUGAAAACUUGACUUAGUCAAAGCUAACAGGGCCGGUAAAACUCGUGCCAGCCACCGCGGUUAUACGAGAGGCCCAAGUUGACAGUCACCGGCGUAAAGAGUGGUUAAAGAAUGAUUUAAACUAAAGCCGAACACCUUCAAGGCAGUUAUACGCACCCGAAGGUUAGAAGCCCAACUACGAAAGUGGCUUUAUCUUUCCUGAACCCACGAGAGCUACGGCACAAACUGGGAUUAGAUACCCCACUAUGCCUAGCCCUAAACAUUGAUAGUACUCUACACCCACUAUCCGCCCGGGAACUACGAGCAUCAGCUUGAAACCCAAAGGACUUGGCGGUGCUUUAGAUCCACCUAGAGGAGCCUGUUCUAGAACCGAUAACCCCCGUUCAACCUCACCUUUUCUUGUUUUCCCCGCCUAUAUACCGCCGUCGUCAGCUUACCCUGUGAAGGACUCAUAGUAAGCAAAAUUGGCACAGCCCAAAACGUCAGGUCGAGGUGUAGCGUAUGGAAAGGGAAGAAAUGGGCUACAUUCCCUAUAAUUAGUGAAUACGGACGAUGUCCUGAAAGAGACAUCUGAAGGAGGAUUUAGCAGUAAGCAGGAAAUAGAGCGUUCCGCUGAAAUUGGCCCUGAAGCGCGCACACACCGCCCGUCACUCUCCCCAAGCUCACAAAUUAAUUAAUUAAAACCCUAAAAUCGCAAAGGGGAGGCAAGUCGUAACAUGGUAAGUGUACCGGAAGGUGCACUUGGAAAAAU